AUUGAACGCUGGCGGCAUGCCUUACACAUGCAAGUCGAACGGCAGCACGGGUGCUUGCACCUGGUGGCGAGUGGCGAACGGGUGAGUAAUACAUCGGCACAUGUCCUGUAGUGGGGGAUAGCCCGGCGAAAGCCGGAUUAAUACCGCAUCCGAUCUACGGCUGAAAGCGGGGGACCUUCGGGCCUCGCGCUAUAGGGUUGGCCGAUGGCUGAUUAGCUAGUUGGUGGGGUAAAGGCCUACCAAGGCGACGAUCAGUAGCUGGUCUGAGAGGACGACCAGCCACACUGGGACUGAGACACGGCCCAGACUCCUACGGGAGGCAGCAGUGGGGAAUUUUGGACAAUGGGCGAAAGCCUGAUCCAGCAAUGCCGCGUGUGUGAAGAAGGCCUUCGGGUUGUAAAGCACUUUUGUCCGGAAAGAAAUCCUUGGGCCUAAUACGGUCGGGGGAUGACGGUACCGGAAGAAUAAGCACCGGCUAACUACGUG
rnacentral:rRNA from 1 species